UCGUUUCCAUGGAGGUGUAGCUCCACCCAUUCAGCAUGCAUCUUGAUUGGUUUCUGGAGUACUUUAAAAAGAGCAACACAGGCCAAGUUUUCUAGUUUCUCUAAGCCUCAGUUUCCUUAUGUCUAAAAUGGGGAUAACAGUCCCUACCUUGCAGGGUUGUGUGUAGAUUAGAUGAGGGUGUCCCCCCCAGCACCUGGCACAGAACCAGAUCACUCCACUUGAACCUCAAAAACCAUCCAGCCCCUUGGUUCCCCAACUAACUGCAACUGCACCUCCUGGGACCUGAUUAAAGAGCAGAUUCCCCAUGUUCGCUGAUCAAGUAAGCUUGGAGUAGAGCCCAAGAACCUGUAUUUCUAGGAGGUGAUUCCAAGGCACGGCCAGGAAAGGAACCAGAAUAGAGAGGAGUCUGUAUCCUGAGUUAGUGACAUUUCUGGGGCUAGAGCCUAGGUGUCCCGCUCCUAGCCUCUGCUCUUCCACUGCACACACAAUGGGAACAUCUGGGACUGUGGGUUUAGCUACUAGUGGUGAAAUUUCUGAAGAAGAAAGGCCCUGGGAGCUUAUUUCAGAAGCAUCAGAAUGAACUUUCCUUCCUCUCUCAUUAUCAGGAAAAGAAGGGCAGAAGCUGCUGGUGUGGAUUUGUUCCUCCAGUUAGGUAUUUGUAUUGUCGCAGUGGCUGGUGGCCCAGCCUUCCACGAUUUGCAGGUGGGUGACAGGUCAUGCCGUGGGUGACUCCAUCCAGCUGUUGCUAGCACUCUUGCUUGCUGUGCUGCUCUGCGUCUGGAGCCUUAGCUUUGCUCAGUGCCCUCUUAUUGGCCAGAAGGGGGCAGUCAGCUGCCUCUCUAGUGUCUUUCCUGAGUUUAGAGUUGAGUCAUGGAGAUCCAGGGGUGGUUAAACAGGACAGGGCUUUCUCUAACCCAUGGCAGGAGGCCUGAGUUCCAGAAAGGAAUGUGUAAGCCUGGGGAGCAGGUGGUUUGCCACGUUCUCAAUUGCUCACUGAACUACCAGGGGGUGGCUGGGGAGAAAGCAGCAUGCACCUGUGCCUGGUUUUUAGCCCUCAGAUACCAGGCUCCCAGCUGCCUCAAUGGCCUAGAUAAGCUGGAGGCUUGGGCAGAGACUGCUACACAUCCCUAAUAGCCAGUCUUUCCUUCUAUAGGAAUAUAUCCACCAAUAUUUAGCUGGACACAUGGCUGCUCAUAAUAAAGACUACAUUUCCCAGCCUCCCUUGCAGCUAGGAGUUGUCAUGUGACUAUAUUUUGGCCAAUAGAAUGUAAGCAGAAAGAGCACAGCCCUUCCAGGAACCUUCCUUACGAAUAACCUUUGGCUCCUUCUUCCCUUCCUCCAUCCUUGCUACCUGGAAUUUGGAUGCUGUCAUCUUGGACCAUAAGGUCAAAACCACAUUUAGCAGAGCAACAAGACAGUGUCUGGAUCUCAGACACUGGGGAGCCACUUAUCAUCCUUGACCACCCAUCCAGAUUUUAUGUGAGAGGAAAUAAACUUCUAUCUUCUUUGCCAUACCUCUAUUUUGGGAUUCUGUCUUUGCAGGGAAACCAAACUGUAACUAACACAGGCCCCUAGCCCAGCUAGGCAGAAUGUGGGGAGGCCAUUGUACACAAGAGUGCCAGGACACCUCUUAUUUGAUAAUAAUCAUAAUAAAAGCACACACUGAGCAUUUCCCAUGUGCUGUGUCAAACCCUGGGUUAAGCACUUUAAAUGCAAUAUCCCAUUUGAUCCUCCCAAUGAUCCUUUGAGGCAGGAUUUAUAAUCCCAAUUUUAUAGAUGAUUAACCUGAGCUUAGGGAGUUUAAAUACCUUGCCCAGUCCAUUAGGAAGUAACAGAAGCAGGAUUCAAAACCAGACUCUGAUUCCUGGGCACGAGUAUUGUCUGUUCUUCAGGCAGCGAGAAAGGUCCCUGCCAUGCUGGCCAUGGCCUCCUGGACCUCACCUGGGCCACUGGGGACCGUGGAUUAAGUUUAGAUCGAGAGGAGAGACUCAUCAGGUGGUGACUGCACUGACACUGACCACAGAGCAAGCUGAGACCCUGGGCAAACCAAAGUGUAGUCCUUAUUCCCUUGCAAAAUUCUUAAACUUAAAAAACAUUUUAGAGGUUUAGUUCCUCUACCUAACGUAGGUGUCCCCUCAAGAGCAUCCCAGUGAGACCAUCUCCUGUUUAGUGGCUGAGCUAAGAGGGCUCCACACUCCUCUUCCUUCACCUUCCGUCAUCCCUCUUCUCCUUCCGUCAUCCCUCUUCUCCUUCACUUCCUGCGGAUUGUGGAGGCUAUGCCAGAGGCCCCUUACAGAGCCUGGCCUCCCCCAAAUGGGCUUCUGUUUAUUUGCUUAUCUUCACAGAUUUCCAUAGAGCAUCUAAGACACAAAGGACUCCAUCCAGACCAGUCAGAAAACCUUGUAACUACUUCCAGCUCUACUACCAAGUGGCUGUGUGAUCUUGGCGAGACCCUUAUCCUCUCUGAUCCUCAUUCUCAUCUUAAAAUAAAAAUGAGAAACCUGAGACAGAGGUUUUAUGUUGUUCAGGGUCAUUCACAAUGAGGUGAAAAUGAAAAGACUUGCAAGAAGAUCUCAACCUUGCUUUUGGUAUGCAAAAUCUCCACCUAGGACGGCACGGGGCCCUUUUGCUCGGAAAAAGACCUCAGCUCCUCUAAGAAAGCAACUCUGCUUUCAAUUAGCGGCAACACCUACUCCCGAGAACACAAGGAACCGAGGCAGCGACAACUUCGUUCAGACAAAGAGCAGAAGCUCGUCUCCGGGAGGGAGCGCGCUGCGCGCACCCGCCGCGGCGCUCCCCGCGGCCGCCCUCCGCGCGCGCCACGUGGCACAUUCCAGCGCCCGGAGCGCGGGCCGCGAGCACUGGGCUCGCCCACUCGGCAGCAGCUCCAGGGCGGCGGGGAGUGGCCCCGGCGUCGGCAGCCCGGCCGGGAGCCGGCAUGCAGAACUCGCCUGGCACGGGAGGCGCGGGCGGCGGCUGGCAGGCUGCUUCCCGCGGCAAUUCUGGCACCCGGACUCCCGGAAGCCCCCGCAAGGGGAGGGGAGGGCGCAACUCGGGGUCGGGGGUGGACACCCAUCCCCCUCCUUUCCAAUCCCCGCCCCCUGCCCCUGUCUGCAGCCCGGCCAGCUGGAAUGCGUUCCUCCAACCCCCUCCCCAGCUCCGUGCUGAUCGACAGUGGGACCUUGGUCAAAUCUCUUAAACUUCUUAAGCCUCUCCGAGGGUUUAGCCAUAGAGCCUUGCGGUUGCCCUCCAGUCCUGUGGGCUCUCCUCGCCGUUGUGGUUUGCACCUCCCCUCAGGCACCUAUCCCAUAGGAACAUGUAAAGUGACAUGGCCGUCUGACUCUUCCCCAGCCCCAGGCUGUCAGCUCCGCCCUGGCAGGAAGCUUACCCCAAACCUCCUCUCUGGCUCCUGGCUCAGGGGAAGUGCCCUGUGGCCACUGGUGUCAGCAGGGGUCCUUUCUGCGGCGGGGGCCCCUGGCGAAG